AUUACCUGAUAUAGUGGCAUUAUAGCGUGAGGUGACCUUGGGCGUUGCAAAGCAUUAAGCCAUGAAACUGUCCACACUGUUAAGUUUGUUUCUAGGCUUUUACAGCACACAAUCAGAAUGGAGUAGCGUCACUUGAGCUCUGCUUUGGGGUCUGGGUGGGAGUAGGUGAAGCACCUACCAUCCUCAGGUAUGAGAUGCCGGGGUUUCUGAUCUAUGUUUCCUGGCAAGGUCUGCUGCCCCACAGGAACUCUUAACAGAACAAAGACAACUUCCCCUGAACAAGGAGAGACUGAAACUGCAGCUGUGGCUCUCCCAUUGCUCUUCCUUUUGCAAGCCUUCUCACUUCGUAGCAGGUUUGGACUUGAUAGUUUCUGUGAACUAAGUGAAGUAUAAGCUAGCUCCUGCUUAGUUCCAAACCAGCCCAAAAUGUCCUGGCGGAAGCAACAGCUUCACUUCCCAAUCCUGGAGCAUUGCUCUUGGCUUAUUCCUGAUUGACUGAUUUCUCUGGUCAGCUGGCAUCUUAGUCUCGGUAACAAAGGUUUGUUGGACCUAGGUGGCCUCAAGCAGGGAUAGUUCUCAGAGCCAGGAAGAGCCUUCAGUGGUCUACCCUGAGCCUCUUUGUUAUUCUGAAGAGAACCGAGAGGGAGAAAAGCCCAAGUGCAAGCAUGUUUACAGUCUGCCCUGAUUUCCAGGUCAUGGCACAUAGGGAAGGCCAGUGUCACAAUACAAGUCUACCCAAGAGCAAGAGCAUAAGAGGUGUGGGAGUGGGGGCUGUUGAUGCUACAGUCCUUAGUUUCCCCUGCUGUGGCACUGUGUGACGCACAGAGAAGCCUGUGAGAUAACGCUGGCCAAAACUACUGAGCUUGAAUCUAACCGAGCUCCAGAGUUAACUUCUGUCUUCAGUUAAUUCUCAAGAUUAGAUCCAAGCCGGAAUACCACCUGACUGACUGAUUUGUUUGCAAGAAUGAGGAAUAACAACCAGGGCUCCACACUGUUAGGCAGAAUGGCUCUUGCACUGAGCUCCAGCCUCAGCCCAGGGUUUUAAGACCUUAGGAUUCAUGAUAAAUUGCUCACAAGAAUCUGUGACACCAAUUUACUCCUGGAAAGUAAAGUUUGGGGGGCUGAGGGGGGACAAAGGAAGUCAGAAAGGAAUAUGAGGAGAUUGUCAUCGAAGAUGGGAUGGUGAAUACUCGCGCAGAGAUCACACCCGGGAAGGAUGAAUAGGAAAGUCCAGAGGAGCAAAGGGCCAGCUGGCCCUCACACCUGUGCAGCUCUCAAGUGUUGUCCUGUAACAUGGCACCGUUACUGUUUUUGAGAAUGUGACCUAGAGCAAUCGCUUUCAUGUUCAAUAGCAUGAAUGCUGAAGAUUUUUUCUUUGCCAAGUUUUUAAACUGAAAUGUCAAUAACUGUUUGCACAGGAAACUCGGUGUUAAGGCUCACAGAUCGCUGGAAGGGGGUCUCUGGAGUUUAUCUGAUCCAUCUCUGGCACAGGCCUUGUGAAUUCUCUUGAAGCAGCUUCUGAGCAUUCAGAUAACAGGGGUCACUGAUGGUCUUGUGAUACUGCUUCCUAUAGGACUGGAAGGUGACUCAGGGUGGGGCUCAGCGGUAGAGCGUGUGCCUAGCAGCUCAAGGCCCUGGGUUGCAUUCCCAGAAACAAAAGCAGACGACUAACAGAGACAGACACCGUGCUCACUCUGCAGACUCACUCUGCAGACCAGGCUGGCCUCGAACUCAGAAAUCCGCCUGUCUCUGCCUCCCAAGUGCUGGGAUUAAAGGCGUGCGCCACCACUGCCUGGCGCCAAGUUUUUAAUAUAGUUAGUUAACUGUAUAGACAUUAAAAAAAAAAUCCAACUUGGUAGUUGCCUUUAUUGAUGUGUCCCCCUACUUUUCCCCAAAAUUUCAAUAUCUUCCGUCUACCCCAACAGAAGAAGCUAUUAAAAGUGAGGGAUUAAAAACCAAAAACAAAAAGUGAGGGAUUGUUGGGGUUCUGAGCCCCUUGGGCUGUUAGAAAAGGUAUGGAAACUAAAACAGUCAUUGGAUGUGACAUGAAGAAGUGUAGCAGGAAUGGGGACCGAACAAGAGGAAAGAAAGAAACACAGGAAACCUGUCUACCCCAUUCCCCUCCUGCUAAGGGGCCAAGGACAUAACCUCGAACAUUAAGGGCAGACCCCGAAGAAGGGAAAUAUGUGGGGGUCAAGGAAGGGACUCCCCUCUCUUUAUAGAAUGAAAUGUAGGCACUAUGUAGGAGUAAGUCUUCCUGGUGCUCCUGGUAUAGCUAAUCCAUCAUGGCUCUGGUGUUGUUGACAGAGAGAAAGCAAGCAACAUGCAGAUAAAAUUGCCUCUGGAUCGAAAAGUAGAAUCAGCCGACUAACUGCAAGAUGAGAAGGCAUCAGCUCAACCACCCAGGUUUCGGGAACUUUCUACUGUCCAAGGGCUGCUCCCAGGGUUUCUUUCGAAUUUCUGUGCCCUGAGAGAGGCUCCUCUCCAGCUGAUGAGCCUCUGUAUGCAAACUUCAUUUUCUCCAGAACGAGGUGAGACCAAGCUGACCUGCAGGAACCCAGGAGACUGGAGUACUGGGUCAGGGGCCAGAGGUGGCUUCCACUCAGCCAAUAUAUUCAUUUUGGAUUACUUUUUGCGAGCCAAUGUCUAUCACAAGUUAGCCAUACAACUAAACAACCAUGCAGUAGUCAUGUAAAGCAAUAGAUGCACCAGGCAGGUGGCUUACUCCUGUAAUCAGAGGGCUCUGGAGGCUUGAGGUACAAAGAUUGCUUCGUUCCAGGCUAGCCUGAGCUAUAGUGUGCACCCCUCUCAGCGGGAAGGAGAGAGGAAGAGGGAGAGAGAAUAUACUAAGGUUCUUUUUAAGUCACAGUAAAGAAUUAUUUCAGAAAUGGAAGUCAUUUUGUCUGUCUCUCCUUUAUACACACUUUUUCUAAAGCAAUAAAGAUGUGGAUCCUGUUUCAGGAAUGCCCCUUUGUUGGUACGCUAGCUAGUUGAUGUCAACUUGACACCAACUAAAGGGAACCUCAAUUGAGAAAAUGCCCCCCCAGACUGCUGGUGCAUUUUCUUUGCUUGGUAAUUGAUGUUGGAAAGGCCCAUCUCAAUGUGGUUGGUGCCACCCAUGGUCUGAUGGUCUUGGGUGCUGUAAGUGAACAGAGUAAGCAAGCCAUGAAGAACAAGCCAGUAAGUAGCACUCCUCCAUGGUCUCUGCUCGGGUUCCUGCCUCCAGGUUCCUACCCUGAAUUCCCAUCUUAGCUUCCCUCAGUGAUGGACUUAUAAACUGUAAAGUGAAACAAACCCUUUCCUUCCCAACUUGUCUUGGUCAUGGUGUUUUAUCACAGCAGUAGAAACCCUAAGACAGUGGGCUUCAUCUUCCAAGUAAGGACCCCACAGUCCUUUGUAACUCAAGCCUGAUAGUGAGCCUUCCAAAAUCUAGAGCUAUGGUAGUAUGCAUCAAAGUCUUAAACAUACACACAGCCUUUAACAUUCUCCAUUUGUAAAGAUAUGUUUGAAUGAAAUAGGUAAGGGAUGGCUACACAAAGAUAAAGGUUUUCAGCAAUGCUGUUUGUAAGUUAGGAAAGCUGCAUCUACUAAAACAAAUGAUGUGGGGUUGGAGAGAGAGAGAUGCUCAAGGACACACCUGUGCACGCAGACAUGGUCUCAAAACAAAAAACAAAACAAAACAAAAAAACAAACAACAAAAAAAGAAUGCCAUCAAAGAAAUAGUUAUAGUUGUUGACCUCAAACGGGAAUGCAUACCUGUUACUGACUAAAAACUACCAGGGCUUUGGUGAAGGAGGAAGCUAAGAGCUGACUUGUAUCCUCCCAGGGCUAGAGACUUAUGUCCCAGUUAUAAAAAGCUUAGGCAGGACAGGUGUGGUGGCGCACACCUUUAACCCCAGCACUGGGGAGGCAGAGGCAGGUGGAUCUCUGAGUUCAAGGCCAGCCUGGUCUGCAGAGUGAGUUCCAGGACAGCUACACAAAGAAACCCUGUCAUGUAAAAAAAAAAAAAAAAAAAAGCUUAGGCAGCAAUCCCUUGAGUUCUGCCAGUGGUUUGCAGAACAUGGAGAAUGACCACAUACAAGUUGGCUUGGAUAACACAGAAGGGCAGGAAUAGGGAACCAAAACUGAAACCAGGAAAGACACAUCAAAGAGACUUCUGGGUAUGAAGUAGAGCACCAGCCUGUGAAUGACUCAGUGGGUGGAGGUGGUUGUUGCUAAGCCUGGCUAGCUGGCUUAGGGUAGGUUCUUUAAGGAAAGUUGGCUAUUUGGGGGAUGGGGGGGGGUGUUUGUUUUGAGACAGGGUUUUGUGUAACCCAGGAUGGCCUCAAACUCUUGAUUCUCCUGCUUCCCCGAGGUUUGAGAUUACAAGCUUGCAUUUCACUAUGUCCAGCUGACGGAUGCUUGUCAGGGUGAUUUAUAGGCGGUUCUCUCAGGAGAAGUCUCUAGGGAAAUGUGAUGGUUUGUAUAUUCUGGGGCCAGGGAGUGGCACCAUUUGGAGGUGUGACCUGGUUGGAGUAGCUGUGCCUCUGUGGGUAUGGGCUUAAGAUCCUCACCCUAGUUGCCUAGGAGACAGUCUUCCACUAGCAGCCUUUGGAUGAAGAUGUAGAACUCUUAGCUCUGCCUGUGCCAUGACAGCCUGGAUGCUGCCAUGCUCCCACCUUGAUGAUAAUGGACUGAACCUCUAAAC
rnacentral:lncRNA from 1 species